AAGAUUUAUCAUGAGAAGUCAGCAGAGGUCAUGGUACAAAGGUAGUCAUGAAUGCCUUGGGAAGGAC
rnacentral:misc_RNA from 1 species